rnacentral:rRNA from 1 species
CUACACCCCUGAUUUUUACAACCUCAUAACCCCUAGGGCCCUGUAUAAUUGGUUUUAGGUUGGGGCGACCACGGAGUACAAUAAAACCUCCACAAUGAACGGGACCACCCCCUUAUCUAAGAGCUACCUCUCUAAGAAUUAAAAUAUUAACAUAAAAUGAUCCAUUUUUUGAUCAAUGAACCAAGUUACCCUGGGGAUAACAGCGCAAUCCAUUUCAAGAGCCCCUAUCGACAAAUGGGUUUACGACCUCGAUGUUGGAUCAGGGUAUCCCGGUGGUGCAGCAGCUACUAAUGGUUCGUUUGUUCAACGAUA